UACGUAGGGUGCGAGCGUUGAUCGGAAUUACUGGGCGUAAAGCGUGCGCAGGCGGUUUUGCAAGUCGGAUGUGAAAUCCCCGGGCUCAACCUGGGAAUGGCAUUCGGGACUGCAAGGCUGGAGUGCGGCAGAGGAGACUGGAAUUCCUGGUGUAGCAGUGAAAUGCGUAGAUAUCAGGAGGAAUACCGAUGGCGAAGGCAGGUCUCUGGGCUGACACUGACGCUCAUGCACGAAAGCGUGGGGAGCAAACAGG
rnacentral:rRNA from 1 species